GGAAAAACCGCACGACCCACGACCCUGCCCCAAUCCCAUCUUCCACCUCUAGCGCGGCGCCACCCUCGCCACACCGCCGCGCACCGCCUACCCCACCCAUGCGGCCUUCCACUGCGGACGACACUCGACGCUGCGUUCGUUGCCUGCUCCCCCAUCCCUGCUACCACGGCGCCGCUUGGACUCCAUCCCACUGCUUCCACCUCGGCAAUGGUUCCCCCAACCCCGCCGGCUUCGCCAUCCCGACGCACUCCACCACCCGUUAGACCAGUCCGCCUGGCUCCCGUGGCGACGGCGCACUCCACCACCCGUUGGACCAGUCCGCCUGGCUCCUGCGGUGAACAUCGCUGCAACCCCGCUGUCGCUUCCCACCACAGCCGAUGUCCUACUCCACCUGCGCGCCACUUCCCGACUUCCCCUUGAUGCACCGCGUGCUCUCCAGCCUCCGGCUAGCUGUGACGUGAGGUGAGCUUGGUUGCUUAGCAAAGUGUGUGCAGGCCAUAUCGCUUUAGAGGAUUGGGAGUCAAAAUCUUGCAGCUACAGGCUGUAGCUCUUCGGAUGAGAUGGGAGUGGAUGAGAAGAUCAGAUCCUAAUAUACCAUGGCAAGGAUUACUGGAAGCGGUGGAUGAUUGUGUACGUCAGCUCUUUAAUUGUUUGGUCAUAUUGAGUGAUGUGGGAGAUGGGCGUACAACUUUUUUGGACUAACAAAUGGAUGGAAGGCUUUGAUGUUAGUGAUUUUGCGCCAUCCUUACUACUGAAGAUCAGUCCGCGCAUCCUGAAUAAGUGCACAGUUUGGGAAGCUCUCCAUAACCAUCGAUGGCUGCAAGAUAUUGCUAGCAUGGCGAGGUCCAUCCGAAUGAAUAGGUUCAGCUGGGCACCUUAUGGACAGUUCUCAACUAUGUCCAACUUGACAAUGCUAGACCGGAUGUGUUUCAAUGUUCCGGUGGCACGCAUUGUGUUGGUCGUAUUCGUGUCCUUCUGUGCUGGAUACCUCACUCAGCUUUGCCAAUCUAGCCUGAGUUCCUCUUCAAGGCAAUGCUUACUAAGUUCAUUGUGUGAAAUUUACAGGAGUUAUUUGAAGAAUGGACUCACUAUGCGGCUAGAUGUUCCAAUUGGAUGCCCUUGCAAGAAGUAUUGCUGUGGUGGGUACAACGCCAUGGCCCCUCCCGCAUCAACACGCUGGUCCUCCAUAUGCAAAGGCCUAUGCAAAACUUAUAUCAUUUUUUGAACAAAGAAUGGACUCAUAUGCUAAUGUUGAUGCCCAAGUUUCCUUUGAAAGUAGUUCAAGAAUAAUAUAACACCAAUGUGGGAGGAGAAAUUGCUAUUGUUAUUCUGGUGAAAGCUGCAUUGGAGAAGAGUAUGUGCAAAAGAAAUCAUGAUGCACGGUAAGUCCUCCUGCUGAUUUCUGAACAAAAACAGUCAUGAUGCCCUCUUCGCUGCUGAUAUUCUACAAUUACUGGAGUUGCAAUUCUUGGCAUGAUCAUAUGUGUACACAAUGUGAAUAUACACGAGGUGGCAUAGCAGGAGUAGAAAAAGUGCAGCUCAAAGUGAGUGCACCUGUAUAAUUUCCUAGAAUUAUUUUCUUGGUAGAAGUUACUAUCUUCUCAUUAUGUAAUAGGAUUGUAAAUUUUGAGAAGUAGAAAUUCACAAUUAAUACCAGUGUUAUAACUUAGGAGAGGCUCAUGUGGAUCAACUGUUUUUCUCAGCCCAUGGGAGAUUGUCGGUAAGAUCAAGCCAUACCGCCCCCUUUGCACCUUGCUAUAUUGCAAGUCUUGAAAAGCCUUCUAGGUACCUGUAGAAGCAUUGUGAAGGAGGGACAAAAGUUUUCUGUUCCUUUUAUUUGGAGGUUAAACUUUGAAUGAGAACAACUUGGUCACAACACGCAUGAUGAGCUAACUAAGACUGAUUUGAUCUUCUGGUUUAGUUUUCUUCGUUAAUCCCACAUUAAUCUAUUGAAUUUACUUUGUUCACUGAUGGAUUCACAAGGAUAUGAAUAAUCAAUGAAUUAAUAUCUUUUGAGGUUAGAUUCCUGAUGCACUUAGCUAGAUAAACUAUAUUUUUAGUACAAGUUGAUUAGUGAAUUAACAUUGUGUGUUGAUGAAUAAAAUAAUAUGAAUAUUGUCAUGUUUGGCAUUUCAUCUCUCCAUGCUCUCCCAAGUGUCGCCUCCUCCCUUGAUUUAAUUUAUUAUUUAAUAAGAUUAAAAUAAUAUGCAUACAAGCAAAAACAUCCCUAAUAUAAAAAAAUGUUUGACCUGGUGGUAUGCUAUUUGAGCUCAUGUCAUGGAAUUAAAGAGGUUGAACUCAGCAGUCAAGUAUUAAUAGCAAACGACAUCAGUUCAGCAACAUGUAUUGGAAAUUUGUUAGUCAAGUAGUAUCAUGAUUAGUUCAUGAAGGUAAAGGCUUUGUAUAGGGGGUCAAGGAAUUUUCGAGGUAAUUUACACAUAGUUGAGUUGACCAAUUGUUGGGUGGAGGAGUAGGAGGAUGAAGACAACGUUUUGGCGCCUAUGGGUUGCCUCAAGGGCCUUCUUGACCUUCAUUGGCGUUCAGUAGGGCGCGUGCUCACUAAGGUUGACAUGUCCUGCUGGCUGUGGGGGCAUCAUGGUGAUGGUGGACAAUGGACAAAGAGGUGGAUCCCUGGCAGGAUCGUAUACAAUGUUUGUGUAUGCAUUGUGACGUCGGUGUGCAUUUGCAUGAUGAUGAGAUCAACUUUCUCUCCCCGUUGCAAGUCAAUUGCUUGCGUCGGUUCACCGUAACUCUCUCUUUUUUUAUGAUUGUUUCGUUCACCGUCAUCCUCUUUUUUUAUGAUCGUAUCCUAUGUUGACCCUCGCUGGUUUUCCGCUCAAUCCGUUUCUAAUGUUUGAGAUCGAACGAGAGAGACGCGAGACGAAUGAAUAGUAAGGCAAAAACGCUUGAUCUCUUUCAUUAAUGAUUAGGCUUAUAUACAAUCUGAGAGGACGCAAUAGAGAGAUGCGUCUGUUCCCGAACAACGCAUCGAGGGAUGCGAUUGUUGCGGGUGUCCAUUGGAACAAGGGGAGAUUUCCCUUUAAUUAAGUGUCAUAAUUAAAUCCUAACAAGAUCAUGUGUGUGAGCCAUGUUCCGAG